rnacentral:tRNA from 1 species
AGCCCCAGUAGUAUAACGAUUACCAUGGUCUUGUAAACCAUAAAUGAAGCAAAUCGCUUCCUAGGACA